rnacentral:rRNA from 1 species
GUCUACGGCCAUGCCACCUUGAAUGUGCCCGAUCUCAUCUGAUCUCAGAAGCUAAGCAGGGUUGGGCCUGGUUAGUACUUGGAUGGGAGACCACCUAGGAAUACCAGGUGCUGUAGGUG